UACGGAGGGUGCAAGCGUUAAUCGGAAUUACUGGGCGUAAAGCGCACGCAGGUGGCUGAGUCAGUCGAUUGUGAAAGCCCUAGGCUUAACCUAGGAAUUGCAGUCGAUACUACUCAGCUAGAGUAUGGGAGAGGGCAGUGGAAUUCCCGGUGUAGCGGUGAAAUGCGUAGAUAUCGGGAGGAACAUCAGUGGCGAAGGCGGCUGCCUGGCCCAAUACUGACACUCAGGUGCGACAGCGUGGGGAGCAAACAGG
rnacentral:rRNA from 1 species